rnacentral:piRNA from 1 species
UGGAUACAGAUGGCUCUGCACCCUUGCUGC